AUCCAGCUGAUGAGUCCCAAAUAGGACGAAACAAUUUCACUGAAU
rfam:Schistosoma mansoni strain Puerto Rico chromosome 7, complete genome